CCUACGGGAGGCAGCAGUGGGGAAUAUUGGACAAUGGGGGGAACCCUGAUCCAGCCAUGCCGCGUGUGUGAAGAAGGCCCUCGGGUUGUAAAGCACUCUCAGUGAGGAAGAACGCCUGGUGGUUAAUACCCAUCAGGAAAGACAUCACUCACAGAAGAAGCACCGGCUAACUCCGUGCCAGCAGCCGCGGUAAUACGGAGGGUGCGAGCGUUAAUCGGAAUUACUGGGCGUAAAGCGCGCGUAGGUGGCUUGAUAAGCCGGUUGUGAAAGCCCCGGGCUCAACCUGGGAACGGCAUCCGGAACUGUCAAGCUAGAGUGCAGGAGAGGAAGGUAGAAUUCCCGGUGUAGCGGUGAAAUGCGUAGAGAUCGGGAGGAAUACCAGUGGCGAAGGCGGCCUUCUGGACUGACACUGACACUGAGGUGCGAAAGCGUGGGUAGCAAACAGGAUUAGAUACCCUUGUAGUC
rnacentral:rRNA from 1 species